rnacentral:rRNA from 1 species
GACGAACGCUGGCGGCGUGCCUAAUACAUGCAAGUCGAACGCAUUUUCUUUCACCGUAGCUUGCUACACCGAAAGAAAAUGAGUGGCGAACGGGUGAGUAACACGUGGGUAACCUGCCCAUCAGCGGGGGAUAACACUUGGAAACAGGUGCUAAUACCGCAUAAUUCCAUUUACCGCAUGGUAAAUGGAUGAAAGGCGCUUUUGCGUCACUGAUGGAUGGACCCUCGGUGCAUUAGCUAGUUGGUGGGGUAACGGCCUACCAAGGCUGCGAUGCAUAGCCGACCUGAGAGGGUGAUCGGCCACACUGGGACUGAGACACGGCCCAGACUCCUACGGGAGGCAGCAGUAGGGAAUCUUCGGCAAUGGACGCAAGUCUGACCGAGCAACGCCGCGUGAGUGAAGAAGGUUUUCGGAUCGUAAAACUCUGUUGUUAGAGAAGAACAAGGAUGAGAGUGGAAAGUUCAUCCCUUGACGGUAUCUAACCAGAAAGCCACGGCUAACUACGUG